AAAGAAUCAUUUGUUGACCAAGUACACAGUCCCUAACUCUGAAGAGCCAAACAAUUUAAAAGAAUCCUUAACUUUCUGGGGCUGAACAAUUAGGAGAAAUUCAAGGAUAUGUGAGAAGACAGAUGCUGUCUUGACCAUCAUUUUCAGGUUUUAUUCAUUAUUCAUAUCAUUCUAUCUAGUUCCUUUUACUCUUUAUGUAAAUCUUUUGAAAGGUUUUGGUGUUUGUGGUUUGUGGGCUUGGGAUCAACUUGUAUCUGUAUUGGUCUUGUGAUAACUAAAGGCUAACAUGUUGCUUUAAAGUUGCCGUGACAACAGACAAAAUAAAGAACUGAUUAUGACAUGUUUGUGGGACACCUUUCACAGGAAAGAGGCAAGGGGCAGAUGGCAGCAGACUGGGACACAGAGAAGAGCACCACAAGGGUCAAGGUAUACAUCUAAGCAAAACAACAACUCAAGAUCAUGGCACAUGACUGCAGAACAGCAAAUACCGAUCAGGGAACACAGCCAGCUGACUUCUUAUGUGAACGGGAGUCAGAAAAACCAGAGAGCUCCAAACUAAGCUUCUGCACGGACAGAGCACGGGAGAAAAUGGAACUACAAUUGGAGGGGCUGCCGAGUUCAACCACUACAGAAGAUAACACUUUGAGGCGAUCCAGCAGCGCCCCUUUGAUCAGUGGCCUUGGUGAUAGUUCACAAGUGUUACGAUCUGAUUCAAUAACAACUCGAAGAAACAGUGCAACAUGUAUGACACAACACAGUCUGAAGAACAACGAGGUACAGAAACCAUCUUCUGCAAACUGCACUGAUUUAAUUCCAGCAUCUGCAGCAGCUUCUCUCACCGAGGUGACUGGCAAGGUAAGAAAGGAGUGUCUAAAAGUCUGUGUCCCUUGAAAUAUUUGUAAGACUUAAAUGUUUCACUUUUGAGGGAUAUAUUUUGCUAUAGUAUGUCUGAUUCUAAAUGACAGAUUUCCCUUCCUUUUCAUUUCUUAAACUAUUAUCUAUGUAUUACCAAAGUCACCAACUUUUAGGUACAUGAUUUGAUUAAUUUUGGGAAUUGUGUACAAUCCUGUAACUG
rnacentral:lncRNA from 1 species